rnacentral:rRNA from 1 species
GGGUAAGUAGGUUGGUCGUGCCACCGGUACGUACUGGUCUCACUGAUUCCUCCUUCCUGAAGAACCGUAAUGCCAUUAAUUUGGUGUUGCGGGGAAACAGGACUGUUACUUUGAAAAAAUUAGAGUGUUUAAAGCAAGCUAACGCUUGAAUACAUUAGCAUGGAAUAAUGAAAUAGGACGAUCGAUCCUAUUUUGUUGGUUUCCAGGAUUGACGUA